GAGAAAUAUUCCAAUUGCUCUUCAUUCUUUAUUUACAAUGCCUUAAGUUUGCUGACGAACUGGUCAAAUCGAAUCAAUAUAAAGGCUAAAUUGAUUGUCCCAUCCCACCACAAUUUGGUUGGACCGUAGUUGAUGUAUUCACACGAUUUAUAUGCAGUAUAUGCUAUAAUUUUGGAUUUUGGUUCCCAUGAUGUUAAUGCCAUGUUGAUUUGGCACAGGGAAAAUAUGAGCAACAGUAUGAGAGUACAGAAGAAUUCAAGCAAGAGCUAAAAUUGAAGGUUCGAGAAAUAUUAACAGAACAAGAAUGGAGGAGGAGAAAGAUGCAGAUGAGGAUUUCUGAGGAAGAAGGCAGAUUGAAGAAAGAUUUCUGAGGAACAAUAUUCUCGCUUACUUCUUGGUUUUCUCUCGCAUCAAUGUCCUCUUAAUUGGGAUAAUGGGGAAAUAGAUAGGGAGAAGAAGAAGAAGGUGAACCUUUUAGCUUUGUCAACUUAGAGGAGACAAUUGUUUAAUACCCAUUAGAUAUCUUUGGGAAUGUCAGGGAAAGGUCCAUAGCUUUGUGCUAGGCCUGAAACUUUCCCAGUGAGAGGAAUUUAUUGCAAUGGCUUAAAAUGGGAGGCUCUUCUCAUCAGCUGCCUUUUAUUUUUCCAUAAAGUUUAAUAUUGGUAAGUUACAACAAACCCACCAUAUUUCUAAUCCCAAAAGAAUCUGGUACUGUAUUGUCAUUAUCAGGUUUCAAGCUGGAGAGAUUUUAUGAAGGGUGGAAAGAAGGGUGGUCAGAUUACGUAGAAUGCGUGAAGUGAAUCAAGAAGUUGUCCUCCUAUCUUUAUGGUUAAAGACAUUAACUUCUAAAGUUAUUGUAUUUAGGAAUUGUAGACGAAAAUUUCAUGAGCUAGCUCAACCUUAUUUUUUGCACUUUUUAACUGGAAGGGUGCAUCUAAUUCUUUUACUCUUAAAAGCAACUGCCUUCUGGAUCGACUGAGUCUAAUUAAUUUAUUACUUUUUCUAUAAACUAGUCAGAUUUAUUUUCAUUCUUUUUGGUUGAGAACCAAACAGGCUGCUCAUAGGCUAAAGAUUUUAUUUGGAUUAGCUGGUUUUGAAGGUACUGAACUUCAUGGAAAUCUUACCCAAGUUCAACUUCUUGAUAUGUGGCUGCUCGGGUGCGAACUCUCUUUGAUUUUGUUUCUUGUCUUGUAGAUACAAUAUAGUUGAGAAAAAAUCAGGAUUGGAUGGAAAAAACUAUCGUGCUUGCUUUGGCCACCGGACAAAAGAGAUUUAGUGUAACUUUAUGCAAGUUUGUUGAGAAAUAUGCUGAAAUAUUGGCAAGUCAAGGACAGCUAACAAUGGCACUAGAAUCGAUGUCCUUUUCCUUUUCCUUUUCCUUUUUUCUUCUUUUUUCAAUUUGAUUGAUGGAGGUAUGUUAUGUUUUGUGGAACAGGACACUCUAAAAUCUCCACCUUCAGAGGCUAAGACAAUGAAGAAGGCAACUCUAGUGAGUGUGUGGGUGACAACGCUUUUUUAUAUGUUGUGUGGCGCUGCUGGCUACACACCAUUCGGGGACAUGGCACCGGGAAACCUACUCACUGGGUUCGGGUUCUAUAUAUAAAUAUAAUAUUAAGAUUUCAUUUUGUGUAUGCAAAUGUAAAAGACAAAUAUUAAAGUUUCUAAAUAAUAUU